CCUACGGGAGGCAGCAGUGGGGAAUAUUGCUCAAUGGGGGAAACCCUGAUGCAGCGACGCCGCGUGGGGGAUGAAGGUUUUCGGUUUGUAAACUCCUAUUAUUAGGGAAGAUAAUGACGGUAUCUGACUAAUAAGCACCGGCUAACUCCGUGCCAGCAGCCGCGGUAAUACGGAGGGUGCAAGCGUUACUCGGAAUCACUGGGCGUAAAGAGCGCGUAGGCGGGAUCGCAAGUCAGAUGUGAAAUCCUAUGGCUUAACCAUAGAACUGCAUUUGAAACUGUUAUUCUAGAGUAUGGGAGAGGUAGGCGGAAUUCCUGGUGUAGGGGUAAAAUCCGUAGAGAUCAAGAGGAAUACGAAUGGCGAAGGCGACCUGCUAGAACAUAACUGACGUUGAGGCGCGAAAGCGUGGGGAGCAAACAGGAUUAGAUACCCUUGUAGUC
rnacentral:rRNA from 1 species